UACUAGAGUAGCACUCGCAUAUCAAUAAGCGGAGGAAAAGAAACUAACAAGGAUUCCCCUAGUAACGGCGAGUGAAGCGGGAAGAGCUCAAAUUUGAAAUCUUAAAGGGUUUCCCUUUACGAAUUGUAGUUUAAAGAAGUGUUUUCUGUUGAGGUUUUGGUAAAAGUUCUUUGGAAUAGGACAUCAUAGAGGGUGAGAAUCCCGUAUUUGACCUUUACUUUCAACUUUGUGAUACACUUUCAAAGAGUCGGAUUGUUUGGGAAUGCAGUCUAAAAUGGGUGGUAAAUUUCAUCUAAAGCUAAAUAUUGGCGAGAGACCGAUAGCGAACAAGUACCGUGAGGGAAAGAUGAAAAGAACUUUGAAAAGAGAGUUAAACAGUACGUGAAAUUGUCAAAAGGGAAAGCGUUUGACACCAGUGUUGUUUUUCUGAAAAUCAAUUAAAGAACUGUUUAUGCUAAGUUGUUUAGACUUUAUCAGCUAACUGUUUAGUUUUGAGCUUUUCUUUAAUGCACUUUUCAGUUAACAAGUCAACAUCAAUUUCUUUUGCUGUAAAAAAGCUUGAGGAAGGUGGCUUGAGAUUCGUCUUAAGUGUUUAUAGCCUCUUGCCUAUGCAGUCGGAGAGAUUGAGGUCUGCAGCGUAGAUCCUUCGGGGCUAAAUGCAUUUGUGCUAAGUUAUAGCAUUUUAUAGACAACUUGUUGACUAUGAUUUGUCUUGUAGCUUACUCGCUUAUGUUAUUUUACCUACGCUUAGGAUGUUGAACUACUGAGACAUAGA
rnacentral:rRNA from 1 species